rnacentral:rRNA from 1 species
UACGGAAGGUCCGAGCGUUAUCCGGAUUUAUUGGGUUUAAAGGGAGCGCAGGCGGGAUGUUAAGUCAGCCGUUAAAGUUCGGGGCCCAACCCCGUGUUGCGGUUGAUACUGGCGUUCUUGAGUCCGCAAGAGGCCGGUGGAAUUCGUGGUGUAGCGGUGAAAUGCAUAGAUAUCACGAGGAACUCCGAUUGCGAAGGCAGCCGGCUGGGGCGCGACUGACGCUCAUGCUCGAAGGCGCGGGUAUC